GACGAACGCUGGCGGCGUGCUUAACACAUGCAAGUCGAACGGUGAAGCUUUGUUCUUGCACUGGGUUGGUGUGUCGCGAACGUGUGUGUCAUACGUGUGUACCCUCCUCUUCUCUCUGGUAUCAUCCUGGGACACUGGCUCUUAUACUAUAUACGCCCUGUCACCGUAUUGUGGUGUGUGGAAAGUGUUUUGGUGGUUUUGGAUGGGCUCGCGGUCGGUCAGCUUGUUGGUGGGGUAGUGGCUCACCAAGGCGCCGACGGGUAGCCGGCCUGAGAGGGUGACCGGCCACACUGGGACUGAGAUACGGCCCAGACUCCUACGGGAGGCAGCAGUGGGGAAUAUUGCACAAUGGGCGGAAGCCUGAUGCAGCGACGCCGCGUGAGGGAUGACGGCCUUCGGGUUGUAAACCGCUUUCGGCACGGAAGAAGCGAAAGUGACGGUACGGGGUAAAGAAGCGCCGGCUAACUACGUG
rnacentral:rRNA from 1 species